rnacentral:hammerhead_ribozyme from 1 species
AUCCAGCUGACGAGUUACAAAUAGGACGAAACGCAUGUCAGACUGGAU